GAUGAACGCUGGCGGCGUGCCUAAUACAUGCAAGUCGAGCGAACAGACGAGGAGCUUGCUCCUCUGACGUUAGCGGCGGACGGGUGAGUAACACGUGGAUAACCUACCUAUAAGACUGGGAUAACUUCGGGAAACCGGAGCUAAUACCGGAUAAUAUAUUGAACCGCAUGGUUCAAUAGUGAAAGACGGUUUUGCUGUCUCUUCUAGAGGGAUCCGCGCCGCAUUAGCUAGUUGGUAAGGUAACGGCUUACCAAGGCAACGAUGCGUAGCCGACCUGAGAGGGUGAUCGGCCACACUGGAACUGAGACACGGUCCAGACUCCUACGGGAGGCAGCAGUAGGGAAUCUUCCGCAAUGGGCGAAAGCUUGACGGAGCAACGCCGCGUGAGUGAUGAAGGUCUUCGGAUCGUAAAACUCUGUUAUUAGGGAAGAACAAAUGUGUAAGUAACUAUGCACGUCUUGACGGUACCUAAUCAGAAAGCCACGGCUAACUACGUG
rnacentral:rRNA from 1 species